CUCCUUUGACGUUAGCGGCGGACGGGUGAGUAACACGUGGGUAACCUACCUAUAAGACUGGGAUAACUUCGGGAAACCGGAGCUAAUACCGGAUAAUAUUUCGAACCGCAUGGUUCGAUAGUAAAAGGUGGUUUUGCUAUCACUUAUAGAUGGACCCGCGCCGUAUUAGCUAGUUGGUAAGGUAACGGCUUACCAAGGCGACGAUACGUAGCCGACCUGAGAGGGUGAUCGGCCACACUGUAACUGAGACACGGUCCAUACUCCUACGGGAGGCAGCAGGU
rnacentral:rRNA from 1 species